rnacentral:lncRNA from 1 species
AAGAUACAGAGACCGGGUGCAUGCGCUACGGCCUUGUGGAAGGGAAUCUGUCCGGGUGGGAUCCGAGCCCUGCGCAUCCCAAAAGAGCAGAGCAGGUGCUCAGCUGGUGCCCUGUUACCGUGCCACACGCUUUAUUUGCCUUUGUAGGGCAGCGUGUUUGUCCACAGGCAUUAUCAGGCAGGCAGAGGCAGCACCCCUGUUUGCAGGAGGCUGACGGCUCCUGCCUGGGCACCGCAGCUGGCGAAGGCUCCUGUGCUGGGGGGGGUGCAGGGAAAGCCCUGGGGUGGGGGACUUGGGACUGCAGGGAGCAACAGCCCCCAGGAGAAGCAGCUGAUGGGAAGGGUGCUGGGCUGCCCAGGAGAUGGCAGCAGGUUUCCACCAGCGUGGUUGUGGACGUGGACCUGGGCAGCCUGCUCUAGGUGGCCUUGCUCGAGCAGGGCUGGACCUGCUGACCUCCAGGGGUGCCUUUCAACCUCAGCCCCCCGUGAUCUUGGGCAGUGCAGAAAGAGAGGAUGCCCUGCAGAUAGCUUGUGAGGGCAGCCCCCAGCCCCCACGUCGUCCACAUUCACAUUUCUGGCAAUGGCCAGUGCCUAGGGUGCGGAGGGGGGGAUCAUCUUCCUAUUCACUGCAGGCUCUGAAGGGUGCUGAGGUUGGGGGGGGGCUGGAAGGGUUAAGAGGGCUGAGGCUGCACCCACAGCUGUGGGUGCUGAGAGGGUAUAAGUGGGGCUGGGGGCACACCUGGGCUGCUUUUGCCCCUGCAGCAAUGGGAAGUGGUGCUUGUGUGUUGGUGUGGCAAAGCACAGCCCAGUACUGGAGAAGAAAAGCAGCGAGGGAAGGUGAGGACCGAUGCUCUGUUGUCAGCAGCGGGGGCUCUCCCUGCUGCCUCGGCAUGAAAAACCUUUCAGCAACCACUGGACUUGAGCCGCCCCAGCCUGCCAGGAGCAGAAGCACAAACCGGGCAGCAGGAGCAGCACAUAAUGGAGCUAGCUAUUUUCCUGCAGCAUUUAGCCUCGAUUUCCAGGAGAUAAGGCUGCUGGAUGAACACCUAGAGCACUUUGCACCUCCAGCACAGGAGGGGAAUCCUUGCCAUGGGACCUACCUGCCAGUGAAUGGAGGAAUUAAGCCUUGCUCCUUCCACAGCCAUCUCCAUUUUUGGUAACGUCUGUGGAGUCUGCAGAAGGAGCUGGCCCUGAUUGAAAUGGAAAAACCUCCUUCCACUCCGGGAAGCUGCACUUAUAUUCCUCCAGGAGAAAACAGUGAUCAAGCAGCGGCAUGCAGCUGUGAGCCCCCCAGGACGUGCACUGCUGUAACUGCUCAUUUUUUAGAAGCACCUGACAGUCGAUGUGUGGCUGGGAAUAGCACAUGCCUCUGUUAUGCUAUGGGCUGGUCAAACAUCUCAGAAGAAAUAGUCUGCCUCAAAUGGAUGGUGCAGCUGAAGGCUGGGGCCUGAAAGCUGGCUGGAAAUUGCUGCUUUCUUCCCGUACAGCUCUGCCCGGGUAUCUGUCAUCGUUUACACCAGCUCUUCAAAAAGCCAGCCUCUAAAGCCCGUAUUCGCUAUGGAUAGUGCUCCACAAAAGCUGCAGUGAAAUUAUCAGCACUGGUCUUGGCCAGGACUCUGCGCGCUGCAGCACGAGGUGAUGGGAACCAGGCUGAAAUUCUGGCUCGUUGGAGUCGGUGGGACUUUUGCCAUCGAUUUAAUGGGAGCCAGAAUUUCCUGCCACUGACAGUGUUAGAAGCAGGCAUUGAUCCAAGGACAUGAAUUCAGAAGUUUGCUACAGCCUUUAUUUUAGCAGCACGGCCCAGGUUUGCUGCUGCAGGAGCGCACUUGGUGCUGGUGUGGCUUCCAGUUAGAGGAAGGGGCAGUGGCAGGAGCUGGUGGCCCUGCCCAGGAGGAUGGCAUAGCAGUGCCAUUUACAAAGCUGUCUUCAUAUUUGGAUUUGCAGCUGGAGGCUGUGUUUAUUUGUGGUGGAGCUUUCUGCUCUUUGGAGAUGGAGGGCCUCCGAACAGCAGCGUGCGUUGUAUGCUCCUGACACCCUUUGACGAGAAACCAUAACAUAUUAACUACAAAUCUGCCUGCAGAAUGUUUAUUCAUGUUAAUAAAUUAUGCUGGAGAAUAAAUAGAUGAUAAAUU